GAUCAUUAGUGAAUAUAGGACGUCCAACUUAACUUGGAGUCCGAACUCUCACUUUCUAACCCUGUGCACUUGUUUGGGAUAGUAACUCUCGCAAGAGAGCGAACUCCUAUUCACUUAUAAACACAAAGUCUAUGAAUGUAUUAAAUUUUAUAACAAAAUAAAACUUUCAACAACGGAUCUCUUGGCUCUCGCAUCGAUGAAGAACGCAGCGAAAUGCGAUAAGUAAUGUGAAUUGCAGAAUUCAGUGAAUCAUCGAAUCUUUGAACGCACCUUGCGCUCCAUGGUAUUCCGUGGAGCAUGCCUGUUUGAGUGUCAUGAAUACUUCAACCCUCCUCUUUCUUAAUGAUUGAAGAGGUGUUUGGUUUCUGAGCGCUGCUGGCCUUUACGGUCUAGCUCGUUCGUAAUGCAUUAGCAUCCGCAAUCGAACUUCGGAUUGACUUGGCGUAAUAGACUAUUCGCUGAGGAAUUCUAGUCUUCGGACUAGAGCCGGGUUGGGUUAAAGGAAGCUUCUAAUCAGAAUGUCUACAUUUUAAGAUUAGAUCUCAAAUCAGGUAGGACUACCCGCUGAACUUA
rnacentral:misc_RNA from 1 species